AGUGAAGAAUCAGACAUCUAUUCAACAUCUGAAAGAAUAAGAGGCACAGAAAGAUUUCUAUGUGUGCUUUACUAUUCUGCCUUUGGGUGCCUGCAGUGGGAAUCAAGCCUUUAUCCUUGGUUUUAUUUAAGAAUAAUUUUCCUUUGUUAUUGCCAAGAAUUAAAGAUGACUUAAACAGAUGGAUGUCUCUAAUCCUAUCAUCGGGAGGGAGAAAUUCGUUCGACGUUUCCUGAUGCUGUGUCACAUCUGGCUACAUUAAAGUGGUUUUCAACAGCGAGGAUUUCUCAGGGGAGGUCUUGGUCACCAUCCGGCAGAAGAGGAAGAGCUUCCUCUAUCCAAAAGAAAUAACUGGCAUUAACUACUAUGGCAUUUCAAAGCAGCAAACAAGCUCACCCAGUGCAACAGAGACUUAUUUAGUUUGAUGAGUCAUCUGUCAUCUGUGACUAAAAACUUGGAUACUUGUCUGUGUUGGCUAAAGAUGAGCCUGAAUUUCUAAAUCACCAGCAGACUGUAUUCCUCAUUUCUGCCUACAGCCUGAGUGGAGGACAGAGGCAGAAGAAAUCAAGAAUGAUUUCCAUGAAUUUAUAUAAAGUGGACUGCUUAAACGCUGCUGACUGUUUCAAAGUGGCACAUCCAGAUGCAUUUCCUGAAGUUAAAUGUGCAUAAAAGCUUUAAAUUGUCAAAUGUAAUAAAGAUUUCCUGUG
rnacentral:lncRNA from 7 species